UCUCUCUCUCAAAAUAAAUACGUAAAUUUAAAAAUUUUUAAAAACUCUGAGUUCUGAAGUUAAGGCUUUAAAAUUAAAACUAAACAUAUAUUGGUUAGGAGAGUUUAGGUACGUGAAGAUAUAGAUGUCAGCAAGUCCGAGCAUUUCUUAGUUCCAUGACUGAAAACAUGUCCCUGACCUUCACUGCCAGACAGGUCCUGCAUUAUCCCCAUUAUCCCCACUCAAGUCUGACACCAGUGAAAGAACAUGAGACUGCAAAGUGGGCCCUCACUAGGAUGGCAAUGUCUUCUAAUUCCUGGCAGUUAUCCUUGAAGUUCAAAUUAGCCAGCAAUUACUGAGUUUGGGAAACAUGGAGAAGAAUGAUACCGAUUUUUAACUUACUAGCAACUGUCUCUUUCAGUUGGGUACCAAAGCCGUGGAUGAUCAUGCAGAGCUCUCCCUACCUGUGCUGUGCUCCCUCAUUCUUCUGGCUCAUCAGGAUGUAGUCAUUCAGGCUGAGGAGUGAGGAAUGGGUACAAGUUGGAGCUGUUAUCAGCACAUGUUAGGAUGAAUUCAGGGAGUUGGUCAACAAAUGUAUCCAUGAAAAAACUAGGAAAAGAAAUUUUGACUGCUUCUUGCUGCUUGUUACUGUGAAAAAGAUAAUCGAUUGCUUCCUGAUUCUUAGGAAAAGGAAACAAAAAUUCACUCCCUCAACGGAAGAGGAACCCAUCGUUCUAGCCAAAUGUACCUGAUGAACGGGAACAUGAAGUCAUGGGGCAGACACGCAUCAGCAUCGCUGGUCCCCUGCCUUCACACGUACCACCUAGACAACCAUCUCCUCUUCUCAGGGCCCAUCUAGGUCCUACAUCCCCAAAGAGGGGAAAGCUAAGCCUUCCCUUGGGACUGCUCGGGUGUGUGUUGGGGUGGAGGGAACCAAGCAUGAGCUGGCCACAUGGCAGCGUCCUAGGUUUCAUGUAACCAUGCCUGCCCAUCACAGACCGGGCUGAGAAUUCACAUUUAUUCACCUUUGUUCUACUUAUUGUAUUGUAUCCCUUUUCCACACACCCUUCCAAGCCCCAAGCUGGUAAACACCCUUCUUCCAAACCCACGAAGUCUUUGACACACUCCCGGCUAUAUUUGGAGCUGUCCAGCAGGCCAAAGCAAGUUUUUGUACAUUUUGAGACAUUAACCUAUUGGAAUCCUCAGUCCUGGGAAUCCAGCAGGAGUCAGAGUAGCUGAUCGAAGCUUUCCAUCCAUAGAGACCUGGGGAACUGGGUCCUGCCUCAGCUAGGUCAUAAGGCCAGUGAGAAAGGACUUGUAUAAAGCAAUUCUGGCGGCCCAGGAAAAUGACUAGAAACUGCAAUCUACCCACAGGCCUCAACGAAGCAAAGGGCAAAACUAGGUUAAAAAACAAAUCGUACGGUGCAAUCUCGCUAAAACUGCAAACUGUAUACAUGUCAUAUUCAUAUUUUUGAAAAAUAUCAGAAGGAAACAUCAGAAUUCAACAUUUUGAGCCUUUCUUUCCCCCGCCUUCUAGGAAUACAGGUGAUUUUUAUUUACUUGUGUUUUGAUGCAGACAUAUUUUUCCCCACAUUUUCUCCAUUAAUCAUGUACUAUUGUCGUAAUCAGAAAAAAAGCUACAAUUUAAAAAAACUACAAGUGACCCACACCAGCCUAUGACUUGGAAGAGUGCUACUAAUGGAGCCAAGUGAGUCCAGUGAGAACAAAGUCAUUCUCCAAGCCCUCCUAUGCCCUUCAAAUGGCCUCCCUGUACCCAAAAGAAUGAAGCUUUAAAAGUGUGCAUCAUCAAACAGAGUCAUUAGACCACUAAGUCUGCCUUUGUAGAGUGUAGAAUAAGUGUUCUGAACAGGAAGGACUCAGCGGCGGCUUUCUCUUCCCCGUAGUCCAUUCCUCACCCACACAGAGUAGGGCACUUAUCCUUCUGACCACCUCCAUCCUCACCUGGAAAAUCAGGGAGCAGUAAGCCACACACCAAAGGCGAUAGCACGGGAAUGAGGACUUGGAGAAGUUGCUGGGCCAGACACCAGUGUGUCUGAUGCAGGACAAAGGUCAGGGACACACCGCGGAGGAGGCAGCUCUGCACCCACGGAUGGGAGCACCGUGCAUGGGGGCUCCGAUCCCAGCUCUGCAACCACGCAGCCUGCAAUCUUUGGGCAAGUUACUUGGUCUCCCUUGGCCUCAUGUUCCUCAUCUGUAUGGGAGUCUUCUCUUUUGUCUCCCAAGAAACCGUUGUUGAAGUUUCACAGAACAUUGGCUUCCUCCCAAAACAGGAUUAGGAAAAAAAAUGGCAACUGUGAAUCUGAACAGAAACAAUGUCCUAGCUUGGGAAACAUGGAAUGGAAAUAAAGUGUGUUUCCCUUUACUUUUGCUUAAAAUGAAAGAAAACCAAAACACCCCACCCUCACACAUACCCCAGAUACAAUUGUAUAAUCAUACAAUAAUUGUUCAGUUACUUCGAUGUUGCAAAGCAAAGCCAGAAUGCCAGAAUUUUCUAAGCAUCCAUUGUCCAAUAUGGUAGUCACUGACCACAUGUGGCUAUUGGAGGGUGGCCAGUCCCAGCUGAGAUAUGCUGUCAGCAUAAACUACACCCUGAAUUUCAAAGAUUUAGUGUGAAAAGAAGGUCACAUAUCUCAUUCAUUUUUUUCAUUGAUUAUAUGUUGGCCUGAUAAUAUUUUGGAUAUAAUGAAUCAAAAUAUAUUAUUAAAAGUAAUUUCACCUGUUAAUUUUUACCUGUAGUGUGCCUUACUAAAAAGUUUAAAAUUACUUACGUGGUUGGCAUUGUAUUUCUUGUAGGCAGUGCUGAUCUAGGAGAAAGAUUUUCUUUCUGGGAAUAGGCUCUACCUGCCCUUUCUUCAGGUGCCUUGUGACAUGAUGACAGAACUAUGUGAAGCAUGUUGCACACAGGGAAGAUGGAAGGGCUGAAGAUAUUUAUUCCACCACCACCCCCAAGCCCUCAUUGGGUUAUCAUGGCUUUGAUGUGAGCCACUGGGUCUUUCUCCUCCUUCCCUUUUCCCCCUUCCUCUUCUUUCUUUCUCUUCCC